rnacentral:rRNA from 7 species
UCUCGGCAACGGAUAUCUCGGCUCUCGCAUCGAUGAAGAACGUAGCGAAAUGCGAUACCUGGUGUGAAUUGCAGAAUCCCGCGAACCAUCGAGUCUUUGAACGCAAGUUGCGCCCGAGGCCAUUCGGCCGAGGGCACGCCUGCCUGGGCGUCACGCAAAACACGCUC